rnacentral:rRNA from 1 species
UACGUAGGGUGCAAGCGUUGUCCGGAAUUAUUGGGCGUAAAGAGCUCGUAGGCGGUUUGUCGCGUCUGCUGUGAAAACCCGAGGCUCAACCUCGGGCCUGCAGUGGGUACGGGCAGACUAGAGUGCGGUAGGGGAGAUUGGAAUUCCUGGUGUAGCGGUGGAAUGCGCAGAUAUCAGGAAGAACACCCGUGGCGAAGGCGGCUCUCUGGGACGGUAUUGACGCUGAGACGCGAAAGCGUGGGGAGCGAACAGG